GACGAACGCUGGCGGCGUGCUUAACACAUGCAAGUCGAACGGUGAAGCGCCUUCCUUUUUGGUGGGUGUGGAUGAGUGGCGAACGGGUGAGUAACACGUGAGUAACCUGCCCCCUUCUUCUGGAUAACCGCAUGAAAGUGUGGCUAAUACGGGAUAUUCUGGGUCUGUCGCAUGAUGGGUCUGGGAAAGAUAUUGUUUCGGUGGGGGAUGGGCUCGCGGCCUAUCAGCUUGUUGGUGGGGUGAUGGCCUACCAAGGCGGUGACGGGUAGCCGGCCUGAGAAGGUGGACGGUCACACUGGGACUGAGACACGGCCCAGACUCCUACGGGAGGCAGCAGUGGGGAAUAUUGCACAAUGGGCGCAAGCCUGAUGCAGCGACGCCGCGGGAGGGAUGGAGGCCUUCGGGUUGUGAACCUCUUUCGCCAGUGAAGCAGGCCUGCCUCGUUUGUGGGUGGGUUGACGGUAGCUGGAUAAGAAGCGCCGGCUAACUACGUG
rnacentral:rRNA from 1 species